GAGGCGAACCGGGGGAACUGAAACAUCUAAGUACCCCGAGGAAAAGAAAUCAACCGAGAUUCCCCCAGUAGCGGCGAGCGAACGGGGAGGAGCCCAGAGCCUGAAUCAGUGUGUGUGUUAGUGGAAGCGUCUGGAAAGGCGCGCGAUACAGGGUGACAGCCCCGUACACAAAAAUGCACAUGCUGUGAGCUCGAUGAGUAGGGCGGGACACGUGGUAUCCUGUCUGAAUAUGGGGGGACCAUCCUCCAAGGCUAAAUACUCCUGACUGACCGAUAGUGAACCAGUACCGUGAGGGAAAGGCGAAAAGAACCCCGGCGAGGGGAGUGAAAAAGAACCUGAAACCGUGUACGUACAAGCAGUGGGAGCACAGAGCAAUCUGUGUGACUGCGUACCUUUUGUAUAAUGGGUCAGCGACUUAUAUUCUGUAGCAAGGUUAACCGAAUAGGGGAGCCGAAGGGAAACCGAGUCUUAACUGGGCGUUAAGUUGCAGGGUAUAGACCCGAAACCCGGUGAUCUAGCCAUGGGCAGGUUGAAGGUUGGGUAACACUAACUGGAGGACCGAACCGACUAAUGUUGAAAAAUUAGCGGAUGACUUGUGGCUGGGGGUGAAAGGCCAAUCAAACCGGGAGAUAGCUGGUUCUCCCCGAAAGCUAUUUAGGUAGCGCCUCGUGAAUUCAUCUCCGGGGGUAGAGCACUGUUUCGGCAAGGGGGUCAUCCCGACUUACCAACCCGAUGCAAACUGCGAAUACCGGAGAAUGUUAUCACGGGAGACACACGGCGGGUGCUAACGUCCGUCGUGAAGAGGGAAACAACCCAGACCGCCAGCUAAGGUCCCAAAGUCAUGGUUAAGUGGGAAACGAUGUGGGAAGGCCCAGACAGCCAGGAUGUUGGCUUAGAAGCAGCCAUCAUUUAAAGAAAGCGUAAUAGCUCACUGGUCGAGUCGGCCUGCGCGGAAGAUGUAACGGGGCUAAACCAUGCACCGAAGCUGCGGCAGCGACGCUUAUGCGUUGUUGGGUAGGGGAGCGUUCUGUAAGCCUGCGAAGGUGUGCUGUGAGGCAUGCUGGAGGUAUCAGAAGUGCGAAUGCUGACAUAAGUAACGAUAAAGCGGGUGAAAAGCCCGCUCGCCGGAAGACCAAGGGUUCCUGUCCAACGUUAAUCGGGGCAGGGUGAGUCGACCCCUAAGGCGAGGCCGAAAGGCGUAGUCGAUGGGAAACAGGUUAAUAUUCCUGUACUUGGUGUUACUGCGAAGGGGGGACGGAGAAGGCUAUGUUGGCCGGGCGACGGUUGUCCCGGUUUAAGCGUGUAGGCUGGU
rnacentral:rRNA from 1 species